rnacentral:lncRNA from 1 species
UCUGUUUUCCUCCCUUCACCAUUUCUUUUAAUGUAGUUUUUUUUAAUAUUUUCCAUUUGUUAAAACUAGUCCCUAUACUUUUAUUUUUUUCUUGAACAAUUUAAUUUUUAAUUUUUAUUUCUUUAUUUGUUAAAGCAAAUUAUCUUUGAUUACAAACUCUGUGUGUAAACCCAAAGAUCGUUUUUGAUCAUUGCAAGAUGAAUAAAAUCGAUCUUAUUGCAUUAAUC